rnacentral:rRNA from 1 species
GUGGGGAAUCUUCCGCAAUGGGCGAAAGCCUGACGGAGCAACGCCGCGUGAGUGAAGAAGGCCUUCGGGUCGUAAAGCUCUGUCUUUAGGGACGAACAACAGUAGUGUAAAUAAUGCUAUUGUCUGACGGUACCUAAGGAGGAAGCUCCGGCUAACUACGUGCCAGCAGCCGUGGUAAUACGUAGGGAGCGAGCGUUGUCCGGAAUUACUGGGCGUAAAGGGCGCGUAGGCGGGAACUCAAGUCAGGUGUGAAAACUAUGGGCUUAACCCAUAGACUGCACUUGAAACUGGGUUUCUUGAGGGCAGGAGAGGAAAGUGGAAUUCCUAGUGUAGCGGUGAAAUGCGUAGAUAUUAGGAGGAACACCAGUGGCGAAGGCGACUUUCUGGACUGUACCUGACGCUGAGGCGCGAAAGCGUGGGGAGCGAACAGGAUUAGAUACCCCUGUAGUCC